AAUAACAAAGAAGCUCUUCAUUGUUGGCUUGCCUCCGUUCUCAAAAGAUAGUGAACGAAGUCGUAGCCUCCAUUCUCGUUCACAUCAUUCCCCCGUUACAAGCCAACAUUCUCACUCUCUCUCGUUUCAAUUGCCAUUCUCCUUCAUCCCCGUUUUCCUUCAACAGCCACUUUCGCGACCUGCUCCAUCUUCACGAUCUUCAACGCUACUAUUUUCACAACCUUUAGCGCCUCCAUUUUUGCGUCCUUCAACGCCUCAUAUCCUCUACUACAACACCACAAUUUUCGCGGUCCACAUUUCUCAUUUUCUUGUGAGUCGUGGUUCUCCUUGUUAUUCAUCUUCUUCUUAAUAUCAUCAAUAGUGUUUGUGCCUUACCAUUUUCUUGUGAUUUUCAUGCUUAUGAUUCUCAUAUUUGGUUCAAUACAAUCCUUACUCAGAUUCCUCUGUGGUAAGUUUUUGAAAGCAAUUUGAAUUCAUAACACAUUUUUGAGGAAUUUUAUACUAACUAAACCUAGAUUCCUCAAUCAUUCUUUAACUUACAUUCUAAAAUGCAUUAGGCGCUCAACAAUUUAAGAUUUGUGUUUAACCUAGAUAUUUGAACAAAUAGCCUUUUUAAAAUAAUAGAAUGCUAGAUUUGUGUGUAACCUAGGGCUUUGCUACUCUAUUUCACAGUGGUUUACUAAUUUGAUCGGUUGUUUGGGAUAUGUAAAUAUUGUUAUUUGUGAUUAUUCUGUUGGUGACGAGACAAACUUGCAAUUUUAAGAGCAAAACUGAAGACUCAAAAGAAGCAUGUAAGAAAUUCGAAGAAAAAGUCAUUGGUUCAAGAUUUUGGAAGAGGUGAUGGAAAAGCUUGUAGAUACUGUCCAUUUUCUAUAUUUGGAGAUAAACGGAGCAUUUGGUAGUGCUGGUAUGUUUUUAAGAAUUUCAAGGAUUCUUUAUUAAGAUUAGCGAUGUGCUUUAAUUCUUAUAAAAUAAAAUGUGGUGUUGUAUUGGAACGAAAAGGGAAAUCUCAUCUCAAUACUGCUAGAAACUGGCAGAACUUUGAGGGCUUGCUCCUCCAUAGCCCAAAUGCCCCAAAUCAAGGAGAAAAUUGAGUGGAGUAAACUAUUUGGUUUUUGCAUAAUUGUGCAGAACAGUUUUGUUUCAGUUCAGUUUUGACGUUAUUAGUUAUGUUGGGUAUUUGGGGAUGGUGUAGUCAAUUGAUUUUUUUGCCUUUAUAUUAAAGUCAAAUAUUUGAAUUUAUAUCAAAUCAUUUGUUGAAUUUUAUAUUUCCCUAGUUUUGAAGUUUUGUGCGUUUUAGAGAACGGAGGGGGAUGCAAUGGCUGGUUGGAAGUAAAAGUUACUCAUUAACAUAUUUCCCCCCUUUGUUCCAUAAUUUCUUUUUACUUUCAACUAUCAAGAAUAUAGUAUCUGAUUGGAAUUUGUGUAAAUAUGAAAUCAUCAAAAUGUUACCAACUAGAAUCUGUGUUACAGAAAUUCCCUCUCCCCCUUUACUUUUAACUCUACAUGUUUUUCAGCUUCCAUAACCUUUUUUAAGCUAGCUAGUGCUCAUCAUUAUGUGCACUAAUUUUUCUUGAAACAAAUAAUUAGGUUGUUUGUUAUACAACUCGAUUGUAUCUAUCAACAAGCCAAGUGGGGUGUAUUAUUAAUAUUACAAAACCAUUGCUUGUGAAUGGUCAUCUUGGAAAUCUUUCCGAGGAAAAAAA